rnacentral:lncRNA from 1 species
AAAAAUGUCCCUUUAUGGACAAGAACUCCCAGAUUUUCCCCACUCAGCAUGUCAACGUCCUCUAGCCAAUAUGGUGUUUCUAAUCCAAAAAGUAACCUUUCCAAGCUUUGAUCAGGAGUGCCAUGACAUGUAACUCUUCUGAGGGCUGCCAUGUGUUCCACGUGUAAAUGAAGCCAGGGGAAGAUCAAUACCCUUUAGUUUUCAACUACUGCUGCCAAUAUUAAGUUUAAACAAACUAUAUAUACAUAUGUGUGUAUAAAGACACACAUACACACUGAAAUGGUUUUGUGUUAUUUUGUACUUGCUUGUACGGAGAAACCAUGCAGCCCACAAUGGGAAUGCUCCUCAGUCUCCUACAUUUAUCUCCAGGCAUGAUUUAUAUCUCCUAUUUUCUCCAAAUCAGUGAUGGGAAUGCAUUCUUGAGGAAUAAAAAUAAGUACGAGAGAACUACACCCCAUUAAACAUUUUUAUCUGCUUGCAGAAUGGGGAAGCAGGGGAUUUUCUGAGCCUCACAUGUCUGAGACGGUUUGCACACACACAGAACCUCUUUCUCUUCCUCUUUUCAAAAUUCAAAUCAAUUCAAUGAAUUCCAAAGCACUGCCAGGUAAAUUACAUGAAUACGAAAUGCUGCUUUGCAUCAGCCUUCCAACAACUUUUUUUCUCUUGUUUCAGGGUUGUAGCAACUAAAAGAGAGGAUUUUGCAUGGACUUCUAGCUAGGUGGGUAGGAGACCUGCCAUGACAGCUGUUGCAGAUGGGAAGAUGGGCAAUCUGAACUUUGGCAGCCUCUCUUACUUAACUAGAUGCCUCCCUGGAGCAGUUCCAGGAAAAAGUCUGUCCCAAGCUAAACAUCGUUGCAGUCCUUACUAUCUGUGGGUACCUUUUUGGCUUACAGUAAAGGUAAAUAAGGUAAGGAGGAAAACGACAGAGGUGUAUAAUAACAUGUGGAGCACGGGAAAAGUGAAUGGUAUUCAAUAUGAGAACUUGGGAUCAUUUGACGAUGAUGAAUGGUGGGAGAUUUAGAGCAAAUGAAAGAAGGAGCUUCUUCACCUAGAAUAUGUUGCUUGGUUUCUAUAGUGACAACCAUCAACUUUGAACAGCUUCAUAAGGAGAUUAGGCAAAUUAAUGGUGGACCAAGCUGCCAUUGGCUCCAUGUCACAAUGACU